rnacentral:tRNA from 1 species
GGUGGCUCAGAUGGUAAAGCAUCUGCCUGCAAUGCAGGAGACCCAGGUUCGAUUCCUGGGCCG